GCCUGGGUGGCUCAGUCGGUUAAGCAUCUGAUUUUGGCUCAGGUCAUGAUCUCACAAUCCGGGAGUUCGAGCCCCCCAUUGGGCU
rnacentral:tRNA from 1 species